UUAGGAAGAUUUAUUAACAAACUCUUCGUCAAGUUAUAUCUUUCUACUGAGGCUUUUGUUUACUGGGGCAUUACAAAUGGUAUCAGAUUCCUCAUCCAUGGAAGCCCAAAACCUACCACCAUGGAAGCUCGAAUGGACUAGCUGGAAGCCCAGAUGGUGCAAUUGAGCAGCGAAAUUGAUACAUGAUUUCAAGCUAUUCAGGAGAAAUUAAGAGUGGAGUUGUCCAGUUUCAGAGACGAGGUGAUGGAGGCUCUUGAUCUCCGCAGAUCCGCUCCUAUAGUGGUGGCUCAAACUCCAGGAUUAGCUUCAAUCCAUGGGCAAGAUCUUCAAAUUCCAAGUGAAGAGCUAGUGAAGAUCGAGAGAGAUUCCGAUGUAGUAAAGAUGGACCCAAACGUUGAGAGACAAAGGUGGUGAGACACAAAGGUGGUGAGAGGGGGAUCACUGCGUUUGUGGAGCCUCUGGUGACAUUCUUGAUUUUGAUUAUUAAUUCCAUAAUAAGGGUUUGGCAAGAAAACCAUGCAGGGAAAGCUUUGGAGGCUUUGAAAGAGAUCCAAUCUAACAUGCAACUGUGAUUCGCAAGGGGAAUAAGCUUCCAGCUUACCUGCUAAGGAUGUUGUUUUAGGGGACAUUGUUGAGUUGAAAGUAAGGGAUAAAGUGCUGGCUGACAUGAGAGUAUUUAGUUUAAUUAGCUUAAUCCUCUGGCUUGAGCAGGGGUCCUUGACUAGAGAGAGUUCUUUGAGUCAUUUGCAGAAUAGAGAUGGUGAGGUUGUUACAGACUCAAAUAAUUAGGGGGACACAAUUGAAGAAAACAAAGAGAGAAACAUUUGAAAUUGUUGCACUGUUGAAGGCCACAAAAUGGAGUAACCUUGAGAAGAUACUACAGGUGCACUUAAAGCUAUAGGGCAUCAGCCAAUGGGUGUGCUGGUCGGACUUGGCAAUGAAUAACCUGGCAGAUGAUGGUGGCGAUGUCGUCUUCAUGCCCUUAGCAAUGUAGCGAUAGGGAAUGGCAUGUUGAUGAAUGGUUGAUAGCUCCCUAAUGGCGCUGCAUAGAAAUAUUGAUGCAGCGAACGG